rnacentral:rRNA from 1 species
UACAGAGGUCCCAAGCGUUAUCCGGAUUCACUGGGUUUAAAGGGUGCGUAGGUGGGUUGGUAAGUCAGUGGUGAAAUCUCCAGGCUUAACUUGGAAACUGCCAUUGAUACUAUUAAUCUUGAAUGCCGUGGAGGUCAGCGGAAUAUGUCAUGUAGCGGUGAAAUGCUUAGAUAUGACAUAGAACACCUAUUGCGAAGGCAGCUUACUACGCAUAUAUUGACGCUGAGGCACGAAAGCGUGGGGAUCAAACAGG